rnacentral:rRNA from 1 species
GGUCAAAUCAUCAUGCCUCUUACAUCUAGGGCUACAGGCGUGCUACAAUGGCCGGUACAACGAGUCGCAACACGGCAACGUGAAGCUAAUCUCUUAAAGCCGGUCCCAGUCCGGAUUGUCCUCUGCAACUCGAGGGCAUGAAGUUGGAAUCGCUAGUAAUCCCGAAUCAGAAUGUCGGGGUGAAUACGUUCUCGGGUGUU